AUUGGAUGUCGAAAAAAAUUAACACCAAGGAAAACAUAAAACGCGAACGGUAGGAGAACUUAUCGCAAUCAGAAAAAGAACUUUGUAGCGAAAAUUGUCAAAAAAAAGCUACACCAGCAAGUUUACGUACAAUUUAUUAACAUAAUGUGGCGUAUUCAUAUAGAAUUACUAAAGUCGUGAUUUCUUGAUCUAUAGUUUAAGGCUUAUUGGUUAAAUAAACACAGCCCUUAUUCAUUAAAUCCCAGGUUACUUUUGUGCUCUACUAUAAUUAUACUUAAAAUGGCAAAAAACUACUGUUAUAUUUCCAAAAUUGUUAUUUUGUGUUGUCCUAUUUUAAAUUAAUUUCGAAAAAAAUCAACAGCAACGAAAAUAUAAAACGCGGACGGAAGGAAAACUGGUCGCAGUCAAAGAAACGAUACGCAGGCACAUCAACAUUGUCGAUGAUAAGGGAAAUGAUGUUAUGAUAAUAAUGAUCUGGCUAUAAUAGAUGAUGUUAAAACCUGGAGAUUUUUUUUCUUGGUGCCAUAUUUUGCAGAUCACGACAUAACUCAAACUCCUCUAAGAUAUCUAUAUAUUUUUGAAUUGUGGUAUUAAUCAACAUUUUUGUGGACAGCAAGUUUACGUUACGUUUAUUUGUUAUGAUUUACAUUUUCAGUCUUUCAAUAUGCAAACAAAGAUCAAAUAUGACAUUUGGCUAUGAUAAUAACUACUUAAACACAGCUUUUCCUAUGUUUAUAGUACACAGACUUAGC